UACGUAGGGGGCAAGCGUUGUCCGGAUUUAUUGGGCGUAAAGAGCGUGUAGGCGGCCAGGUAGGUCUGCUGUGAAAACUCGAGGCUUAACCUCGAGCUGUCGGCGGAAACCAUCUGGCUAGAGUCCGGAAGAGGAGAAUGGAAUUCCCGGUGUAGAGGUGAAAUGCGCAGAUAUCGGGAAGAACACCCGUGGCGAAGGCGGUUCUCUGGGACGGUACUGACGCUGAGACGCGAAAGCGUGGGGAGCGAACAGG
rnacentral:rRNA from 1 species